GAUGAACGCUGGCGGCGUGCCUAAUACAUGCCAGUCGAGCGAACAGACGAGGAGCUUGCUCCUCUGACGUUAGCGGCGGACGGGUGAGUAACACGUGGAUAACCUACCUAUAAGACUGGGAUAACUUCGGGAAACCGGAGCUAAUACCGGAUAAUAUAUUGAACCGCAUGGUUCAAUAGUGAAAGACGGUUUUGCUGUCACUUAUAGAUGGAUCCGCGCCGCAUUAGCUAGUUGGUAAGGUAACGGCUUACCAAGGCGACGAUGCGUAGCCGACCUGAGAGGGUGAUCGGCCACACUGGAACUGAGACACGGUCCAGACUCCUACGGGAGGCAGCAGUAGGGAAUCUUCCGCAAUGGGCGAAAGCCUGACGGAGCAACGCCGCGUGAGUGAUGAAGGUCUUCGGAUCGUAAAACUCUGUUAUUAGGGAAGAACAAUUGUGUAAGUAACUAUGCACGUCUUGACGGUACCUAAUCAGAAAGCCACGGCUAACUACGUG
rnacentral:rRNA from 1 species